rnacentral:tRNA from 1 species
AUCUUUCUAGUACAACAUAAUUAUAAGUGACUUCCAAUCACCCGGUCUUGGUUAAAAUCCAAGGAAAGAUA